CCUGCGGGAGGCUGCAGUGGGGAAUAUUGGACAAUGGGCGAAAGCCUGAUCCAGCCAUGCCGCGUGUGUGAAGAAGGCCUUCGGGUUGUAAAGCACUUUCAGUGGGGAAGAAAGCCUUGGGGCUAAUACCCUCGAGGAAGGACAUCACCCACAGAAGAAGCACCGGCUAACUCCGUGCCAGCAGCCGCGGUAAUACGGAGGGUGCGAGCGUUAAUCGGAAUUACUGGGCGUAAAGCGCGCGUAGGCGGUCUGAUAAGCCGGUUGUGAAAGCCCCGGGCUCAACCUGGGAACGGCAUCCGGAACUGUCAGGCUAGAGUGCAGGAGAGGAAGGUAGAAUUCCCGGUGUAGCGGUGAAAUACGUAGAGAUCGGGAGGAAUACCAGUGGCGAAGGCGGCCUUCUGGACUGACACUGACGCUGAGGUGCGAAAGCGUGGGUAGCAAACAGGAUUAGAUACCCCAGUAGUC
rnacentral:rRNA from 1 species